rnacentral:rRNA from 1 species
CCCGGCGACCGGCGCACGGGUGAGUAACACGUAUGGAACCUGCCCUAUGCAGGGGGAUAAGCGGAAGAAAUUCCGUCUAAUACCGCAUAACACCUUUAGGAGACAUCUUCUUGGGGUCAAAGGAGGCGACUCCGGCAUAGGAUGGCCAUGCGUCGCAUUAGCUAGUCGGCGGGGUAACGGCCCACCGAGGCGACGAUGCGUAGGGGUUCUGAGAGGAAGGUCCCCCACACUGGUACUGAGACACGGACCAGACUCCUACGGGAGGCAGCAG